GCCGGGAUGGCGGAACUGGCAGACGCACACGAUUAAGGGUCGUGCGCCGCAAGGUGUGGGAGUUCAAAUCUCCCUCCCGGCA
rnacentral:tRNA from 4 species